UUGAUCUUUCUAAGUGUCAUUGUAUGUUUUGAAGACAACAUUUUCCUUUCUGUCAGUUUCCAUAACAGUUUAUUUCAUUUCAGGUAAUCAUUCCACCUAGUUUCAGAACCUUUGUUCUUUUGAUUUGAAUAUAGAAUAUCCCUGAAGUCCCUCUGAGGUGAGAGGUUUUAUGUCAACUCUUAAGCUACUUUUCAACUGGAAGUUCCCUUUCUUUUUUCACAUUCUCUCUCUCACUCCACCCUGCUCCUCCCCCAACACACAUCUUUUGAAAAUUAAUUAGAAUAGGUACUUGUUACAUAUGUGUAUACUCAAAUUACUACCCCAAAAAUUUCAACAAUAGAGUCAGGGGUAUAGUGAUAUGCUAGUAAAUGUUUCAACAAUUUUCUCUAGAUAGAAAAAUAAAACCCUGAUAUUUAAUGUUUGCUGGUUUCCCUGGUAUAAAUACUCUUACCGUGGCUGAUUUCCAACUACUGAGAUGACCUCAUUGAAUGUGAGUUUGGGACAAGAUGUGCAUAAUUGGCUUUUGUGAACUGGUAGAAGUUGGAUGACUGUUCUUUGACUUGGGUUUCUUCUCAAGGUCAUCCAUACAGCUGCUACCCUUAAGAAAUAUGUUAAUAUUUCCCUCCCCUUGCUAUCACCCAACCAGGAGCAGUCUUACUGAAUAAUAAAAAGGCAUAGAUUCCCUAAGCUCAGUGUCCCUGAACUGUGACAGAUAUCCACUGUGCAUAUAGCAUUUAUCUGGGCCAAAUCAUGUUAUUCAUGGAGAUUUGAGGCAAAGAGAGAUAAAUGCAAGAAUGCUAAUGUUCAUGCUAACAUCUGUGCCCUUAGUAAUAAAAUCUUUGUCUUUUAGCUAAAAGUCUUAUGUCUAUGCCAGCAUACAUGAAACAAUUAUAGGCUAGCUUACUGUCUCAUAAAUAGGAUAAAGUCAGACUUCAUACCUGAUGGAUAUCAUGUAUGUUGAAACUGAUGGAAACACAUGUAUGUGAAACAGUCUUUAUGACUUGGCAGUAAUUAAGAGUUUGUUUCCAUUGAUCAAUACUAUUAGUAUGAAGUAGUUUUACAAGUAAAAAAAAAAUUGUUGAGAAACUUUAAAUUCUCCUAUAUAGGUAAAUUUUUCACUUUGAACCAUUCAUUCGCUAUAUGAUUACUGAAUUCCAUUCAGCUUUUUUUUUUAACCUGCUUUUACCUGUCUUACAUUGCCAUGAUGUGCUUUUAUAAAAUUUAAUAUCUUCCAGUAAUUAGGCAGAGAAUUUUCAAUUGGAUAUCAGUUUUCAGUCAAAAUGAAAAGCUUUGGCAAUCAAAAAAUUUAAGUACUUACUCUGUCAAUAUAUGUGAAUAUAUUUGAUUAGGUUGAACACUCUUACCCAUAAUCUCCGAAGGCAUAUUUGCAACACUAAUGAUUAACUGGUCAGAUUCAGUUAUUGUAGAUAUUUUCUAGUUAUAAUAAAUUCUUCUUCAAACUUCCUAGACUAGAUACAUAUUCAAAUGCACUAGAAGUGAGGAUCAGUGACCUUGCUCCCACUCCACUCUCAGGCUUUUUCUGACUGCAGAUUGAUGGGUGCACCACAGCACACCAUUUUUUUCUUUUCCUCCUUGCCUCUUCCUUUCCUUCAGAUUUCCUUUCUCAGCAAAUUAUUACAGGUUAGAUUUAAGGUUUGAGCUUCGGUUUUUGGUUAUUAUUUUUUUUAAUCACUACCUACUCUAGAGUAAGUAAAUCUUUGCUGAAUUUUCAAUAGGAUUACAAUUCUGAGGUGUUACUAAAGACAUUAAACUAGCAUUUCUUUAAUAGAGUAUUAAAUGUCAAGAUCUUGAUUUAAAAAGUGCAAAAUGGAUACUUAAUAAGCAAUAAAAAUCUUGCAUAUAUUAAGUCCUAAAUGCUACUCAGUUCAGAUUAACAAAAAUUGUUGUCAAGUAAUGUUAAUGAUACUUAGAAAAACCUUCAUUUAUCUCAUAUUUCCAACUGUAAAUAUAAGUAAUUAUAAAAAUAAUUUAAAAUGUAUUAGUUAAAGAAUAUGAAAAUUUUAUCUACUUUGCUUAGUAUUGUCUACUUUGAUCAAAAGUAGUAAUGUCAUUUUAAGUGACAUUACACCAAAUAAAAAAUAUAAAAUGAAUAAAAAUAAUUGAGAAUUAAAGAUAAACCUUGAUCUAUUUUUAAUUCCUUGAUGAGUUCACGGAAAGUAAGUUCUUCAUUUUGUUUCUUGAGUGACAACGUCCUUCUCACCCACACUCAAAACCUACUUGAGUUUCAUCCCAGUGCUAUGAAAACAUCUUGCGGUAUUCUAAUAGGGCCAUGCCCUGUACCCAUUAGAGAUAGUGUAUAGAGAAAUGAUGCCAAAAAUGUGCCAAAUAAAACUCUAAUAUUUAUUUCAGUUCAUAAUGCAUAUGAAAAAUGCCAGCUCUUAGUGUCCUUUUUAUCAGGGUCUUUGUCCUAAUAUUCACUCUAAGGCUAAUUCACUCUUUUUUUUUUUUUUUUAAACUUUGUCUAGCCCUCUUUGAAUCACACUCCCACAUGUCUUACUGGCAGUUAGCCUGAUGAUAUCAAGUGCCAUCAGAAUCCACACACAGCUAGGACUGACCAUGGAGGAAAUUUUGGUAGCAGGAUUUUAGAAACAAACUAUAGCCUAUGCCAGAAUUAAUUUUAAAGAAAUGACUCAAAAAGAGAAAUGCUUCAGAAACUUUGUCUUUCCAUCAUUUGAAUAUCUAUUUAGCCCUUUUCACACGACCUCUUUUUCUCUGCAGAACAAUCCUGCAAGUUUGAUACUGUUCAUCACAUUUUAGACAGGAAGGCCUUUGGGCUCAAAUUCAUGCAGUUCAAAAGUGAAAGAAUGAGAUGUCCCUAAUGCUCUAUACUCUUCCCAUAUCUUUUAAAUUAUAUUUUAACAAGAUUAAAAAAUGGCUUAAAUUUCCCAUCUGAGCCUUAUUGUUUCUUCUUAUAGACAGAUAAACAGAGAAUCAUACUUAAUUUUGCAAAACCUGAUUGGAUACUGAGCAUUAUUGGGUGGAAUAGUACAAUGUUGAGUAGUCUCACAACAUUACUUUCCAAAAGCUCAUCAUAAUUUAGUAAGAGAUCUGAGAUAAAAAAUUAUGUAUAAAACAGGUUUUAGUAGACCAGUAAUAUAUUUUAAACAUGGCCAUUUUAAACUGGUGACAUCACCAUUUUUUACUUGCCUUUUUAUCUUGCGAUAAUAACAGCAUUUAUUCAUUUUUUGCUUCACCUUAGAGCUGUUAAAUUAUGUGUGUAUUCUUGACAAAGAUUCUAGGAGUAUGCUCUAACUUUAACAUAUAUUUUGUAAUAGAACAAGGAGAAAUCCUCUUUCUAUUUAAAGAUCCAAUCUGCAGAUGCAGUUGCAGUAUGCUGCCUUUCGGGAAGAAUAUAUGAGAGAUGUUAAGUCCAAGCUCAUUUCAGCAGAUAAACAGCUCUGUUCUCUUUCAGUUCCUUAUUUUUAAAAUACUCUUCAGCUUCAAAAGUAGAAAGACUUGCACCGUGUACUUCUAACAAACAGUUUGUGCAUGUUUUAAUAAAUACUUUGUGAUUAUAUGCUUUAUAGCAAAUUUAUCUUACCUGUUCUAAACUGAUAACACUAAGUCAAAUACUAAGAAACUGGAGAAUUGAGUCUGCUAGCUGCAUAUGGUUUUGUGAAUUUCAUGGUUUCUCACCAAACUUUUGAUCUAAAACUGAAAUAGAAUCCAUAAGGCUCAGUAGAUUUUUCACAUUUAUAAUAAAGACUGAAACUGGAGAGGAGGACAAUAGAUAUGACAAAUUUUCAUGGUAACUUCCUUACAAAACCAAAGCAGAAGGAUACAUUUUGCAGACAUCGAAACAUAUCAAGUAAUAACACAUAGAAAAGACCUUAAGAGAACCAGGAAAUAUCCAGAAACAUUUUACUGUCUAUCAAUCCAGUCAUUUUUCAUCAAGUUCCCUAUGGAAAUCACUUAGAAUUAAUGCACUUGCUUAUCCACAGAGAAGAGACAGUUUGUGAAAAGAAUAGUGAGCAAAAAAAUAAAAAAUUUCAAAACUGCCUUCUGUUAUGCAAGCUAGGCUGCAACCUUCAACCUGCAGCUUUUUGUUGUGAGUAUUCCUCCCCCUUCCCUUUUCCCUCCUCCUCCUUCACCACCUCCUCUUUCUUUUCUUCUAUGUCUUUAAUGCCUAUGGCUUUUGUAAAUAUAAUUUAGUUUUACAAUAAUAAAUUACUGUUUUAAGUGCUGCUCAUCACUUACCUAUUUUGCCUCUACCAACCUAAUAAUUUCAUGAUAUCAUUUUCUUAUUUGACAUGUUACAAGAUAGCCUAAGAUGCUAAAAAUAUUUGUGAAACAUUUUAAAACCAUCUUAGGAAAUAAUUUUAUGGCAUGUGACAAGAAACAGUUUUAUAUCUAUUUCAAAUUUUAUGUUCUGGAUAUUGUAACAUGGGAACACCCCCCCCCCAUCAUAACCAACCUGGUUAAAAAGACAAAUUGUUAAAAGGACAAACUCCUGGAGUGAUGUAUUAUAAUCUUCAUUUUGCUAUUAAUCAUUAUCUUUAUAUUAAUAAUUUACAUUAUUCAUUGUAUAAUAUUUUCUGUUACUACCCCCAUAUCCCCUCCCCUUCUUUUUUCUUCUCUCCUACGCCUCCUCUCACCUUCAGAAGUUCUAAACAUUUAUUAGGUACUUAUUAUUUGUCAAUUAUUUUAUUAGAUAAUUUAUAUAUGUUACAAUAUAGAUUUCUUAAAAUUUAUCUUAUGAAGUUGAUUUUAUAAUCCUCACUUUUAAGCUCAAGAAGUGUGUGAGGCUCUAAGAGGUUGAGCCAUUAAUGUGAAGCUGGAUGUCUCUUUACUCCACUAUGUUGACGAAAUUAAAAAUGGAGAUGUGCAAAGGAAAUGAAAGCCUUCAAAAUGACAUCAAUAUUACAGGUUCUCAGAGACUUACAAAGAACACAUGUCUCUUGCACUCACCCCCAAGUUAGCAUGUUUAUUCCUGUUGAAUGUAGCAUGACUGAGGUGAGAGGUGGAGAAAGGUAUUUAGCAUAGUAUGCCAACAUCCCAGUGAGGUAUCUGAAAUAUGAAUUAAAAAGACAGUCACUUUGCUGUACAGCAAAAAUUAGCACAAAAUCGUAAAUCAACUUACUUCAAUAAAAAAUAAAUGUUUAAAAGCAAUAAAAAGGACAGGGAUAAAGGUGAGAAGUAUUAUCUCCCCAGCCUUGGAGUGAACAUCCAUUCCUUAGCCAAUGCAGCAACAGUACAUCACCAAAGGAAUUCCAAAACAAUGUGUUCUGUUUAGCAUUAAUAAAUGUCAGAAUUUUCAAAUAGACCUUUUUUGAGAUUUUAGACUUUCUAAAGGAGUAGGCCUGGACCUUAAAAAGGUAAGGAAGGCGGGGAAAGAAGGUACAUGGUUGUUUACAUAAAUAUACUACAUGUUAAUAAUAAAACUACUACUUAGAUUGCAUGGAGAUCAUGCAAAAGCCUAGGUCUACAGUCUACUUUACGAUAGGUUUUCGCUAUAUAAGAGCUUUACCCUGUAAAUCAAAUAACAGAAACAAAUCUGACUAGCAUCCAUGAGGAUGCAGGUUUGAUCCCUGGCCUUGCUGAGUGGGUUAAGGAUCUAGCAUUGCUGUGAGCUGUAGUGUAGGCCAGCAGCUACAGCUGUGAUUUGACCCCUAGCCUGGGAACCUGCAUAUGCCAUGGGUGCGGCCCUUAAAAAAUUUUUUCAUUUUAAAAAUAUAAAGACCCUGGCUUAAUUAAAGCCUUAUGUAACUCUUGUUAAUGGACUGAUUUUAUGUGAUUUUUUAAAAUGUUGUUUCCCAUCGUGGCACAGUGGUUAACGAAUCCGACUAGGAACCAUGAGAUUGUUGGUUCGAUCCCUGGCCUUGCUCAGUGGGUUAAUGAUCCGGCAUUGCCGUGAGCUGUGGUGUAGGUCGCAGAUGCGGCUCGGAUCCCGCGUUGCUGUGGCUCUGGCAUAGGCUGGCAGCUACAGCUCCGAUUCGACCCCUAGCCUGGGAACCUCCAUAUGCCAUGGGAGCGGCCCAAGAAAU
rnacentral:lncRNA from 1 species